rnacentral:rRNA from 1 species
GAUGAACGCUGACAGAAUGCUUAACACAUGCAAGUCUACUCGAACUUCGGUUUGGGUGGCGGACGGGUGAGUAACGCGUAAAGAACUUGCCUCACAGUUAGGGACAACAUUUGGAAACGAAUGCUAAUACCUGAUAUUAUGAUUUUAGGGCAUCCUAGGAUUAUGAAAGCUAUAUGUGCUGUGAGAGAGCUUUGCGUCCCAUUAGCUAGUUGGAGAGGUAACGGCUCACCAAGGCGAUGAUGGGUAGCCGGCCUGAGAGGGUGAACGGCCACAAGGGGACUGAGACACGGCCCUUACUCCUACGGGAGGCAGCAGUGGGGAAUAUUGGACAAUGGACCAAAAGUCUGAUCCAGCAAUUCUGUGUGCACGAUGACGUUUUUCGGAAUGUAAAGUGCUUUCAGUUGGGAAGAAAAAAAUGACGGUACCAACAGAAGAAGUGACGGCUAAAUACGUG